GCCACUCUGAUGUAUCUCCGUGCAGCACAGGGAAGCGAAGCCAUGUUCCAUUCAGUAAUGCCUGCCUUCUGAGACUCUUAAAGCUCUCAACUGGCAAGAGGGCUCUCAGGGAAAAGAAGAUAAAAAUUGAGCACAAACACCUACCUCAUUGCUUACUCUACCAUCCUAUGGAGAAGGCCUUUCCACAUUUUCCAUCUAUCUCCUUCCUAUAGGGAAUAUAUUGCACUUCCUUGUCUUUCCAACUACUGCUCCCAGAUCAGGAUGGCAGAAGUCUACAGCUAAUACAGUCAGAAGGAAAUUAGGAUGAAGAAUGUUCUCUAUCUAUUCAAUGCUCAUCAGCCUUCAAGGACCCAAUAGAAACACUACCUCUGAGUCACCUCAUUUCUACCAUGACCUUACAGAAGAAAUAUCUCCGGUGUCUCCUGUCCCAUUUUGUGAAAGAAGAAACGGAGACUCAGAGAGGCAGGUGAUGAGCUCAUCAUCCAGCAGGUGUAAGUGGCAGGGCCAAGAAGACCAGCUCACCUCCCUGAUCCCAGGCCUGGAGCUCCUACCACUGAAGUGAACUCUAUACGCAGGUCUCUUGCGAGUUUUUGCGUUCAAAGGUCUUUCUCUGUUUCAUUUAAGUGGCUGUGAUGCUUCUUUUAUAAAAGAAUGUUUGCCCCAA